UUCAUGAUAGUUUGAACCUUUAAUUAGUGUUAGAAGCUAUUGUUAAUAAUUGUGAAUGUUCCUGGUUAUUAUGGAUUCAUUUUUAUAGUUGUAACCAUGAUUAAUUUGUUUUCUUUGACAUUUUGGUCAAUAAAGUAUACUCUACUAUUUUUGUCCAAGAUUGUUUAAAACUUUUGACAACUGAGUAUUAUUCGCAUGAUAGCAAGUAAUUAAUUAAUAAGAUUGUUUAAUGUGAGAGCUCAUCUCAUAAAUUUAACCAUGAAACUUAUUGAAAUAAACUAAAGUAACUUAUUUUGGUAAGCUUAACCAAGAAAUUAAUUAAUAAGAAAGUAACUUAUGCAGUUGAUUUUUCAAUAGAUCAGAUUUUCGUUGCAUCAUAGUAACUUGUAUUGUUAUAUGUGGAUGUUUGGUUGAUAUCCUUUUAUUUUUUUGUGGAUUUUUAGGUUCCGUUUAAAAAAGAAAAUGGUCAAAUGGUUACAGUCCCACUUUUCCACUGGUAGCUUUGUGUUGGGAAUCUUGUGAUGAUGGUAGCUUUGGUGCCCAGCCCAUGGCUGUUUCAAGGGAGUUUCUAUUUCUGAUUUAAUAGAGACAGAUGGUGUUCUCAUACUUUUUACUUGAUUUUGGAGAAUGUCUUAUUCCCUAGUUGUUCUUCACUUAUUUUCUCUCGAAUGUGUAUAUGACUUGUUUUUUAAUGAUAAUAAUAAGGAGACUUAAAUUUGUUAUUUCUUAAUAAAUUUGCUUGAACUUUACAUUUACAUAUUCCAGUUUUAUAGUUCCUUAAUACAUCUGGCUUAGUGUAUUUAACUGUGCGCUACUUAACAAAGCAAAAGCUAUGUGCAUGCAAGGGGUUUUUCUAUUCAUCAUGUGUUUAAACAUAUCACGGUAACAGUCUUUGUUGCUUAUUAUUUUCAUUUGAUUCUUUUAGUUACUCUUUAAAGUCUUUCUUAUUAUAGAUCCUUUUUGUUUUACAUUGCAGGAGUAUGCAGCGAUAGCUUUGCAGUAUUUUCUUGGGAACCAAACUGAAACGUGUCUGUAUUCUGUUUUGCACUGGAUUUGCAGCUACGAGACUCUAUUUUCAAAAUCAUGCAGCAAAUGUUCACGGCUACUUGCCA